rnacentral:rRNA from 1 species
GUGUAAGUACACGCCUUAGUAUGGUGAAACUGCGAAUGGCUCAUUAAAUCAUAUGUGAUUUCUUAGAUCGUUGCGUCCUUUCGGGGACGACUGGAUAACUGUGGCAAUUCUAGAGCUAAUACAUGCAAUCAAGCUCCGACCUCACGGGACGAGCGCUCUUAUUAGACCAAGGCCAACCUGCUAGUUCGCUGGCAGUUUGCUGUGGUGACUCUGGAUAAAGCUCAGUUAAUCGCAUGACCUUUGCGUCGGCGAUGUAUCUUUCAAGCGUAUGCCCUAUCAGCUGUCGACGGUAGGGUAGCGGCCUACCGUGGCAAUUACGGGUAACGGGGGAUCAGGGUCCGAUCCCGGAGAGUAAGCCUGAGAGACGGCUUAUACAUCUAAGGAAGGCAGCAGGCGCGCAAAUUACCCAAUGGGGACACCCUGAGGUAGUGACAAGAAAUAACAAUACGCGACUCUUUCGAGGCCGCGUAAUUGGAAUGAGCACAUUCUAAAUCCUUUAGCGAGGAUCAAUUGGAGGGCAAGUCUGGUGCCAGCAGCCGCGGUAAUUCCAGCUCCAAUAGCGUAUAUUAAAGUUGCUGCAGUUAAAAAGCUCGUAGUUGACAUCCGACGCUCGUCUCGGCGGUCCUGUUCACGCAGGCACUGCCUUGACGGCAUCUACACACUGGCUUGCGGUCGUGCACGCUCGGCGACGGGUAGCACAGAUCGGAGCCCCGGGUGCCCUUCAUUGGGUGCCCGCGGGUGGCCUUUGCGUUUACUUUGAAGAAAUUAGAGUGUUCAAAGCGGGCUCUUGACAGCUCGUAUACUCGGUACAUGGAAUAAUGGAAUAGGACCCUGGUUCAUUUCCGUUGGUCUAUGGGCAAUGGGUAAUGAUUAAAAGGGACUGCCGGGGGCAUUGGUAUGGCGGGGGGAGAGGUGAAAUUCUGUGAUCCUCGCCAGACUGACUACAGCGAAAGCAUUUGCCAAGAA